GGGCUGGGGCUCCGUGGUAGAGCGCCCGCCUCGCAUGUGGGAGGCUCUGGGUUGGAUCCUCAGCACCACA
rnacentral:tRNA from 1 species